UACGGGGGGGGCAAGCGUUGUUCGGAAUUACUGGGCGUAAAGGGCUCGUAGGUGGCCAACUAAGUCAGACGUGAAAUCCCUCGGCUUAACCGGGGAACUGCGUCUGAUACUGGAUGGCUUGAGUUUGGGAGAGGGAUGCGGAAUUCCAGGUGUAGCGGUGAAAUGCGUAGAUAUCUGGAGGAACACCGGUGGCGAAGGCGGCAUCCUGGACCGACAUUGACGCUGAGUGAGCGAAAGCUAGGGGAGCAAACGGG
rnacentral:rRNA from 1 species